rnacentral:rRNA from 1 species
GAACGCGAAGAACCUUACCAUCCCUUGACAUGUCGUGCCAUCCGGAGAGAUCCGGGGUUCCCUUCGGGGACGCGAACACAGGUGCUGCAUGGCUGUCGUCAGCUCGUGUCGUGAGAUGUUGGGUUAAGUCCCGCAACGAGCGCAACCCACGUCCUUAGUUGCCAUCAUUCAGUUGGGCACUCUAGGGUGAGUGCCGGUGAUAAGCCGCGAGGAAGGUGUGGAUGACGUCAAGUCCUCAUGGCCCUUACGGGAUGGGCUACACACGUGCUACAAUGGCGGUGACGAUGGGACGCGAAACCGCGAGGUUGAGCAAAUCCUCAAAAGACGUCUCAGUUCGGAUUGCACUCUGCAACUCGAGUGCAUGAAGGCGGAAUCGCUAGUAAUCGUGGAUCAGCAUGCCACGGUGAAUACGUUCCCGGGUCUUGUACACACC